rnacentral:tRNA from 1 species
GGAGAGGUGUCCGAGAGGCUUAAGGUGCAAUCUUGGAAAGGUUGUGUGGGGGCAACUCCACCGUGGGUUCGAAUCCCACCCUCUCUG